UAAAAGCCCAUUUCAAUAAUAAAACAGACAAAUAAGAAAAGCGGAAUGAGGGUUUCAAUUCAAGCAUCUCCUGGAGAUUGAAGUGAAAACCAGAGUACCAGAGAGAGAGAGAAAGUAACGACGAGUUGUUGUUGAUUCAGUAGAGAGAGAGAGAGAGAGAGAGAAAUAUCGAAGAAGAACGACCUAGCUCGCAGAAAAAGACAGCACGAAUUCGAACUCCAAAGCACUCUCUCUCUAUCUCUCUCUAUAUAUGAGAGAAAUUAGAGAAAGAAAACAAGGCAAAGAAGCUGCAGGCCAAGAAGAAUAAGAUGAAAGUAACUCCCUUUCUUCUUCCUCCAAGCCCACUCUCUGUAUAGUGUUGGAAUGUGUUGAAGAGCUUUGUGUUUGGGCAAUUAUGUGUUUAGUCGGAUGGGUAGUGACACGAAGAAAAAGAAGAAGGGUGCAAGUGCAUUCCAAGUUGGGAAGAGAUAGGUGAAGACCAAGUUGACAGCAUUGGCAAAAGCAAAGGCUGCCCAAGCGAUGGAGCUUGACAAACGAGGUUCUACUUUGAGUCACUGAGGCAUUAGCUAACUUUAGGAUAUGUAACUUUGAAGGAAAAGAAUCCAAGAUUGAGAUACCCUCAUAUGGCUGGAAUCUCUUUACCAUGGAGAGGGGGGAGCGUUCUCGUUCUCAUUCUAUGGCGAAAAGUGCAGAGGCUUGUAGAUAAGACAGUACGUGCCAGGCUGGAGAUAUGAUUUGGGCUUGCAUUGCAUCCUUUAAAGCUUCCUGUGGCGAGUCGCUCAUGAGAUAAGACAAAUUACGGCGAGCAAAAACUGUUGGUGACCCUAGUAUUCCUGCUUCAAUAAACUGCAAGUAGGAAAAUAAAACCGUUAUUAGGAUUCCAGCAUUCACUCAGAUUUUCAAGAAUGUAACCAUUAGAGUAUCACAGUUUUCCCAUAAACUGCCACUAUCUCUGAAUUACCUGAGACAUGGAUUGUUUCGGUGCAUGGAACAUGAUCACGAAUGUGGUAUGUCACAUUUUCUAAAACGUACGAAUGUGGUAUGUCACAUUUCCCAUAAACUACAAUGUUGAAAGAUGGCAGUGAGCAAAAGCACAAUGCAUAGGCUGUAAUUUUAUCUGGGUCAAAAAGAACGAUAAAAUUGUCUCUGGUAUGACAAAGCAUAACAUGCU